GAUCGCCUCCCCCCAUCGGCUGGGUGCCGCCUUCUACACAGGUGGGCGAAUUAAGGCCUGCCCAGCGUGACGCAUGGCUGGUGGUGCUCAGUGCUACCGGUGCAGGCGGGGGGAGGACGAAGAGUCGGGGCCUGUGCUCUUUCGCGAAUGCGCACGAACGAGUGCAGAAAUCUAGAUUGAAUGGCUGUGAAAACUUUUUCAUAAACGAAGUGAAAAUUUAUUUAAAGACGUCCCAGCUUAUGUGACAGUGUCAUACGAGCUGGGACAUGUUAGUGAACCUUAGAGAUAGCGAUGAGAUUUCUCAUAACAUCCAUCAUCUUCCUACUUGCAUCUAAUUCCUUUGUGCUCCGAUCGGUGCGUACGAGGUAUAAGCAACAGAUUUGACAGCUGGAAGGACUGCAGCAUCUAACGUGGCCGCUGACCUGACAACUUGCGAUGUGAACCCUUCUGUCAACGUACUGUUUUCCAAUCUCCACAUUUGAAGAUCUCACCUUUGCGCAUGAGCAGGAGGCCCAAGGUUCAUCAGGAACUGGAGUUCCCAACCUACAAACUAUUUGAGUUUCUUAAUGCCUCCUAACAGUGAGUUGCUAGGUACAGCGCGGUGUGAAUGAGCUUCGCAUUCAUGAUAAACUCAGUACUUGCAGAGGGCUUGUAUUUUUGAGAUGUCCCUUUUAACCCAAUAUGAAACUGAAGAACAUUCUGAAAAAAGGAGAAUAAUUGGAUUUCUUGGAUAUCCUUGUACCUCUGAGAAGUCACCAAAGCACAGAAUUCAUAUGAGGAGAAGCAAGCAACGCUCUCUACAAAAUGGCCAGUUUUCUAUUUGACAGUAAGAAGGAAAAUUGAACUCCAGCAGCUCUUGAGGAAGUGAUGUAUGACUGAGCUGAAAGGAACUGAAUGCUGAAAAACUGAUGUGCAUACCUCAGGCACGCAUAAGAGCUAAGAGUUUUUAACAGAGGAAGAGGCCGUAAACUGGGUGUUGCUGGCUGGGUGGUUGAAGAGGAACUCUGGAAAGCUAUGCCAUCAGGACUGAUGUGACCAGGGCGAGAGAGGAGUCGUAGACAUGCAUCUUGUUAGAGUUACCCGUAUCUGGGGAUCUCAGAUAAAAUACUACUGCUAGUGAAAGCAACUUGAAGGUUGAAUCGAUUGAGUGGGGAAAGUGAGUGAUCCUAUGUACCGGAGACCAAGUUAGGGAGCUUUGAAACUGCAUGUGAUGCCACCUGUGUGGAAAGUGUUGCGAGUGCUUGUAGUUUUUUAAGAUGUACCUUUGUUGUAUCGACUAUUUAAAGUGAAAUUCAUCUCAUUGAGUGAAAUAUCAUUUUAUAGUUAAAAAAUAUCAUAGUUAAUGCCUGCAUUAUUUUACGUGGAGUUUUGGUUUUACUGUUAAAGUGCAAGUUUUAACAAGUGA